rnacentral:rRNA from 1 species
CAGCAGCCACGGGAAUACGUAGGGUGCAAGCGUUAAUCGGAAUUACUGGGCGUAAAGCGUGCGCAGGCGGUUUUGUAAGACAGAGGUGAAAUCCCCGGGCUCAACCAGGGAACUGCCUUUGUGACUGCAAGGCUAGAGUACGGCAGAGGGGGAUGGAAUUCCGCGUGUAGCAGUGAAAUGCGUAGAUAUGCGGAGGAACACCGAUGGCGAAGGCAAUCCCCUGGGCCUGUACUGACGCUCAUGCACGAAAGCGUGGGGAGCAAACAGGAUUAGAUACCCCUGUAGUCCCUGUCUCUUAUAC